CGCGUAGGCGGAUCAGCAAGUCCGGGGUGAAAGCUUUCGGCUCAACCGGAAAAGGGCCUUGGAUACUGCUGAUCUGGAGGAAGGUAGGGGCGUGUGGAACUUCCGGUGGAGCGGUGAAAUGCGUAGAUAUCGGAAGGAACGCCGGUGGCGAAAGCGACACGCUGGACCUUUUCUGACGCUGAGGCGCGAAAGCCAGGGGAGCAAACGGGAUUAGAUACCCCGGUAGUCCUGGCCCUAAACGAUGGGUACUAGGUAGUGGACUGACACGGGUUCACUGCCGAAGCAAAAGUUUUAAGUACCCCGCCUGGGGAGUAUGGUCGCAAGGCUGAA
rnacentral:rRNA from 1 species